GACGAACCGUGCGAACGUUGUUCGGAUUCACUGGGCUUAAAGGGCGCGUAGGCGGCUUGCCAAGUCAGGGGUGAAAUCGUUCGGCUCAACCGGACAAGUGCUUCUGAUACUGGCAGGCUGGAGGGAGGUGGGGGCAGACGGAACUUCCGGUGGAGCGGUGAAAUGCGUAGAUAUCGGAAGGAACGCCGGUGGCGAAAGCGGCUUCCUGGUCCAGUACCGACGUUCAGGCGCGAAAGCGUGGGGAGCGAUCCGG
rnacentral:rRNA from 1 species